rnacentral:rRNA from 1 species
GACGAACGCUGGCGGCGUGCCUAAUACAUGCAAGUCGAACGCACUCUCGUUUAGAUUGAAGGAGCUUGCUCCUGAUUGAUAAACAUUUGAGUGAGUGGCGGACGGGUGAGUAACACGUGGGUAACCUGCCCUAAAGUGGGGGAUAACAUUUGGAAACAGAUGCCAAUACCGCAUAAAACCUAACACCGCAUGGUGUAGGGUUGAAAGAUGGUUUCGGCUAUCACUUUAGGAUGGACCCGCGGUGCAUUAGUUAGUUGGUUGAGGUAAAGGCUCACCAAGACCGUGAUGCAUAGCCGACCUGAGAGGGUAAUCGGCCACACUGGGACUGAGACACGGCCCAGACUCCUACGGGAGGCAGCAGUAGGGAAUCUUCCACAAUGGACGAAAGUCUGAUGGAGCAACGCCGCGUCGAGUGAAGAAGGUUUCGGAUCGUAAACUCUGUGUUGGAGAGAAUGUAUCUGAUAGUAACUGAUCAGGUAGUGACGGUAUCCAACC